rnacentral:rRNA from 1 species
CCGAUCCCCGGCCGGUUGCCCGUUCUGGUAAGUUCCCGUCGCGUGAAGCGGGGUGAGUCCCUUUCCCUCGCCUCUGGCGCGUCGGGGGCCCCAGUGGCGGGCGAUGGUCUUUUUAUUCUGUGGAAACCUGCUCGCAGGGGGGCGCAGGCCCGGGACUUGCCACCGAGCAUUGGUCCUUCCUCGUUGUCGGGCGGUCGGAGGCGGGAGGGCGGGCGGGCUGUCGGCAAGUACCAUGAGCAGGCAUGUUGGGACCCGAAAGAUGGUGAACUAUGCCUGGCCAGGAUGAAGCCAGAGGAAACUCUGGUGGAGGUCCGUAGCGAUUCUGACGUGCAAAUCGAUCGUCAGAGCUGGGUAUAGGGGCGAAAGACUAAUCGAACCAUCUAGUAGCUGGUUCCCUCCGAAGUUUCCCUCAGGAUAGCUGGAACUCGACACCGCAUGAAUUUCAUCCGGUAAAGCGAAUGAUUAGAGGUCUUGGGGACGAAAUGUCCUCAACCUAUUCUCAAACUUUAAAUGGGUGAGAUGCCGAGCUUGCUUAGAUGAUGAAGCCUCGGCGAAGAAUCGGAGUUCCUAGUGGGCCACUUUU